rnacentral:rRNA from 1 species
GUGGGGAAUCUUGCGCAAUGGGCGAAAGCCUGACGCAGCCAUGCCGCGUGAAUGAUGAAGGUCUUAGGAUUGUAAAAUUCUUUCACCGGGGACGAUAAUGACGGUACCCGGAGAAGAAGCCCCGGCUAACUUCGUGCCAGCAGCCGCGGUAAUACGAAGGGGGCUAGCGUUGCUCGGAAUUACUGGGCGUAAAGGGCGCGUAGGCGGAUCGUUAAGUCAGGGGUGAAAUCCCAGAGCUCAACUCUGGAACUGCCCUUGAUACUGGCGAUCUGGAGUGUGAGGGAGGUAUGUGGAACUCCGAGUGUAGAGGUGAAAUUCGUAGAUAUUCGGAAGAACACCAGUGGCGAAGGCGACAUACUGGCUCAUUACUGACGCUGAGGCGCGAAAGCGUGGGGAGCAAACAGGAUUAGAUACCCGAGUAGUCC